rnacentral:rRNA from 1 species
GACGAACGCUGGCGGCGUGCUUAACACAUGCAAGUCGAACGGAAAGGCCCUGCUUUUGUGGGGUGCUCGAGUGGCGAACGGGUGAGUAACACGUGAGUAACCUGCCCUUGACUUUGGGAUAACUCCAGGAAACUGGGGCUAAUACCGCAUAGGAGAUCCUGCUUCAUGGUGGGGGUUGGAAAGUUUCGGCGGUUGGGGAUGGACUCGCGGCUUAUCAGCUUGUUGGUGGGGUAGUGGCGUACCAAGGCUUUGACGGGUAGCCGGCCUGAGAGGGUGACCGGCCACAGUGGGACUGAGAUACGGCCCGGACUCCUACGGGAGGCAGCAGUGGGAAAUAUUGCACAAUGGGCGGAAGCCGUAUGCAGCAACGCCGCGUGCGGGAGGACGGCCUUCGGGUUGGAAACCGCUUUCGCCUGUGACGAAGCGUGAGUGACGGUAAUGGGUAAGGAAGCACCGGCUAACUACGUG